GCGGAGCAAAGCAGAAAUCAGAUCGGCUCACCCACUGCACCACAGACUUGAGAAAAUACAGGAAUACAGACCUAGACUCGAGGACAUGCUACAUGUGUGAUAGUCCAGAGUAGCGACCUCUAAUACCAUAUUCCCUUAUGACAUUUUAGAGAUGGUCUCUAACCCCCACGUGCUUGACUGAAAGAGAUGGCAUUUCACACUUGCUUGGGCCCCAAAGUUGGCAGAGAUGCAAUGAAUCCAGAGACCAUGUGAAGCACACAGCUGUCUCACCUAUGAUUACCAUCUUCUGAUUGUAAAUAAACUAGCCCCAGCACCAGCUUCAGAAGCAGAACCUGAUGUACCUAGCCUGUCACAGUAGCUCUGUUCUCCUUUGAGAGUAUGGCGCCGCGUGUCAUGUGAUU